rnacentral:rRNA from 1 species
UACGGAGGAUGCGAGCGUUAUCCGGAUUUAUUGGGUUUAAAGGGUGCGUAGGCGGACGGUCAAGUCAGCGGUAAAAAUGCGGUGCUCAACGCCGUACAGCCGUUGAAACUGGCAGUCUUGAGUGGGCGAGAAGUAUGCGGAAUGCGUGGUGUAGCGGUGAAAUGCAUAGAUAUCGCGCAGAACCCCGAUUGCGAAGGCAGCGUGCCGUGCCGCCACUGACGCUGAGGCACGAAAGCGCGGGGAUCGAACAGG